rnacentral:rRNA from 1 species
GAGCAAUCUGUGUGACUGCGUACCUUUUGUAUAAUGGGUCAGCGACUUAUAUUCUGUAGCAAGGUUAACCGAAUAGGGGAGCCGAAGGGAAACCGAGUCUUAACUGGGCGUUAAGUUGCAGGGUAUAGACCCGAAACCCGGUGAUCUAGCCAUGGGCAGGUUGAAGGUUGGGUAACACUAACUGGAGGACCGAACCGACUAAUGUUGAAAAAUUAGCGGAUGACUUGUGGCUGGGGGUGAAAGGCCAAUCAAACCGGGAGAUAGCUGGUUCUCCCCGAAAGCUAUUUAGGUAGCGCCUCGUGAAUUCAUCUCCGGGGGUAGAGCACUGUUUCGGCAAGGGGGUCAUCCCGACUUACCAACCCGAUGCAAACUGCGAAUACCGGAGAAUGUUAUCACGGGAGACACACGGCGGGUGCUAACGUCCGUCGUGAAGAGGGAAACAACCCAGACCGCCAGCUAAGGUCCCAAAGUCAUGGUUAAGUGGGAAACGAUGUGGGAAGGCCCAGACAGCCAGGAUGUUGGCUUAGAAGCAGCCAUCAUUUAAAGAAAGCGUAAUAGCU